rnacentral:miRNA from 1 species
GUUUUAAUAUAAGUAUGUGGCAUGUACUAUUUGGAGCAUACUUAUACUAAAA